rnacentral:rRNA from 1 species
UUCGUACCGGCGGUGUGGCAAGUCGGAAGUGAAAUCCCCUCCAGGCUUAACUUGGAGGCUGCUCCCGAAACUGCCAUGCUAGAGUGCGGGAGAGGCCAGUGGAAUUGCAGGUGUAGCGGUGAAAUGCGUAGAUAUCUGCAGGAACACCCGUGGCGAAGGCGGCUGGCUGGACCGCAACUGACGCUGAGGAACGAAAGCUAGGGGAGCAAACAGGAUUAGAUACCCUGGUAGUCCUAGCCCUAAACGAUCAGGACUUGGGGUGCAUCCCGUUGGGGGUGCGUCCCGUAGCUAACGCGUUAAGUCCUGCGCCUGGGGAGUACGGUCGCAAGGCUGAA